rnacentral:sRNA from 11 species
GCAGUAUCUCGUUAGGCGAGGCUCCUAUACAAACAAAGGUUGCUGAUCUGACGACGUCGAGAGACGCCCAAGAUUAGGACAGGUUAUAUCGAACAGAAGGUAUAACCCGAAGUAACUUCCCGCAGUCUGCGGGAUACGUUGUAUAGUGCUAAACCGAGACGUGAGAUAGCCU